rnacentral:rRNA from 1 species
AUUGAACGCUGGCGGCAUGCCUUACACAUGCAAGUCGAACGGCAGCGCGGACUUCGGUCUGGCGGCGAGUGGCGAACGGGUGAGUAAUGCAUCGGAACGUACCUUUCAGUGGGGGAUAACGUAGCGAAAGUUACGCUAAUACCGCAUAUUCUGUGAGCAGGAAGCAGGGGAUCGCAAGACCUUGCGCUGAUUGAGCGGCCGAUGUCAGAUUAGCUAGUUGGUGAGGUAAAGGCUCACCAAGGCGACGAUCUGUAGCGGGUCUGAGAGGAUGAUCCGCCACACUGGGAGUGAGACACGGCCCAGACUCCUACGGGAGGCAGCAGUGGGGAAUUUUGGACAAUGGGGGCAACCCUGAUUCAGCCAUGCCGCGUGAGUGAAGAAGGCCUUCGGGUUGUGAAGCUCUUUCGGCCGUGAAGAAGUCGCAUGGGUUAAUACCCUGUGUGGAUGACGGUACCGGAAUAAGAAGCACCGGCUAACUACGUGCCAGCCGCCGCAGUAAAAC